UACGUAGGGCGCAAGCGUUGUCCGGAAUUAUUGGGCGUAAAGAGCUCGUAGGCGGUCUGUCACGUCUGCCGUGAAAACCCGAGGCUUAACCUCGUGGCUUGCGGUGGAUACGGGCAGACUAGAGGUAGGUAGGGGAGAACGGAAUUCCCGGUGUAGCGGUGAAAUGCGCAGAUAUCGGGAGGAACACCAGAAGCGAAGGCGGCUCACUGGCCCGAUACUGACGCUGAGGCGCGAAAGCGUGGGGAGCAAACAGG
rnacentral:rRNA from 1 species